CUGGAAGAAUGCAAGCUAGCUUGAACUAAAAUUAUGCCAGGGCCCAAUUUAGUAGUAGGCACAAAACCAUCCAUGUACCUCUGUGGUCCUGUUAAGUUUAUUAGUGUCAGAAUGAAACCUCAGUCACACUGGCAAGAGUCAACAGAAAACCUUUAUUGGCCUCAGUGAUCAGAAGAUACUGAGAGAUAUAAUUAUUAGCUUCACUUCCUUCACAUUUAUGUUCUUUUUCCCCCCUCAUUCUGGCUAUUACCAAAAUAAUAGUGAAAUGAACAUUUUUUUUCAGACUCAUAGAGUAAUGAAAUUGGGUUGUUUCCUAACCAAAACUUGCUGUUAGUUUUGAGUGAUCCUCUGGGUUAAGAAACAGGCAGAGGUUCUGGAAAAGCCAGCUUCAGCUCUCCUUCUGGGCAGACAAUCUCCAGUGGCUUUGAGCAAGGAGCUUAGGUCAUCUGUGAUUCCACAACUCAUUUGGAUAAAGAGUUAAAAGCUGCAAUGUGUUGAGACACAAACACACCAGGUGCAUAAGCACACUGAACUGAUGUGAGCAUAAAACUCACUUUUAUUUCUGUAGCUUUUUUUUUUCUUCAUGAAUCUGGGAAGGGAAUUUGUUUUAAACUCUGUGAAAUGGACAUGAGUGCAUUCACCCCCAUGUCAGGAUAUAUUCAGUGUAGCACAGAGGGAGGGUGUGUGUAAGCCUGAAGUAUUCUACAGGGAUGGCUGUGCUAAUCUGGGGAGUGCCUGCUCUGUUUCUAGAGCUAACUCUCUGCACCUGGUACCCCAAUCAACGCUUGUAAAACUAUCCUUCACUAUGCCAUACUUCUGCCUGCAGCAAUAUGAAUAGGAAUCAGCUUUCAGCUUCUGAUAAACCCAGCGACUCAUUGUCCAGCUUCCUGUUCCUGAUAUGCAGAACACAUGUCAGAACAACUGGAGGGAUGACAACAAUGAGAGAUGAAAAAUGGGUACCAUUGGCAUUACAUACUCCCAGGGCAACCAGUAUUUGGAAACAGCAAAGUUUCUGGAAUUCAGCACUGUUGCUUAAGUACUGCUGUGGGCUGAAAGAGUUAAUCCACUCUAGUGGAGUGGCAAAUAAGACUGUCCCCAAAGACAUGCCUGCUGCUGACUAUUCUACAAGUCCAGCUACAGGAGAAGCAAAGGCCUCUGCUACAGGCACAAGUGUCCUAAAAGUCAGAUGCAGAAAUUCUUCUGGAAGAGAUACCACCCAGUUUCGGACUAGCAUACUUGGUGCUGUUUAUCACGGCAAAUGGACAGGUUUGAGCACCAGCACAAUCUACUUCCUUCUUUGGACUUUUUUUGGCUCAGUUUUGGCAUGGACUGAUCACCUUCUCCCAGCUGAUGGCCAAACACCAUUUGGAUGAUUGCUGUGGACCUAAGGCUCUUCUCAAGAGGUGAUAUGGUUGUGGUAACUCGAUUUAGGGGCAAAGAGGGGAGGGCUGACAGUGUGAGCCCAAACCUUGUUAUACCAUUUAUCCUUAGGGCCAGAGAACGGUUUUGGAAAAGUUAGCAAGUCAAAGGUUUAGUGGAUGAGAGGCCUCUGUCAAGUCUUGUGCAAAAAUUGCUUUUUUUUUCCAGUGUCAAUUUACUGUUUUUAAGUGGGUUUACUCCAGAGUACUUUUACCAUAUGUACUUUCUCAUCCCUCUCUUCUUUUUACUAAUCUUGCUCAGCACAUGAGUUGAUUGUAGUAGUAAAUGGUUUGGCCAAACAUAUGGCAGUGGACAGAAUUAAGGUCCUGGUAAGUAGAGAGAUCAGGCUGUCUUCUGCAUGCCCUCUUGGUCAGUAAAAUCCCAUACACACCAGUGCUACUCUGUUUCCGGAUGUCCACCAUGCCUUGCAUCCCACCAGCCAGGCUGCAGGAAGAGGGGUAAAGCAGCGAGGCUGUUUCCUCCAGGCUGAGCUGCUCCACAGCUCCUUUAGAAGAAAGCAAAUCCUUUGCUACCUUUCUUUUGGUCUGCCUCCUGUUGGCUUCCCCUUCCUCAGCGCCAGGAGCUGGUUGAGCCCACUAAUAACUCCAUUCUUCAUCAGUGCCACUGAAUGGGCAUUUUACAAGGCAAAGUUUGACUUAAAGCUCUUAGUAAAAGAAAGAAAUCCUUUUUAUAAUUACAUGAAAAGGACAAUUAUUUUCUCGCAUUGGGAUGAGAUCAGAAUUGGGCUUUCUGCAAUUUUUAUGUCCAAUAUAGAUUUGAUUUACCACAAUCCCCUGAUGAUUUUGGUGCUGAUAAAUAAAUGUAUUUAUAUGUUGUGCUCUUACAUUCCUAGUACUAACUGAGGAAGCAGAACAAUAACAUACUCUUGUCAAUACAAGCACUGCCCUGGGAAUUGACUAAUUAACAUAAAACUCAGCCCUGCAGGGACAUUUCCAGGUUCAUUUUUUGCUGCUUCAGCAAACUAUAGGGUUUGAGCUGUUAACUACUUUCAGAUGCUCUUUGUCUCUGAAGAAAGAAAUAAAGAACAUCCACGUUGCUUUAGGCAAGUUAAUGAUUCUACAGAACACUUACCUUUUUACCAUAUGCUUCAUGGUGGAUUAAAAUCCUGAAGGAGUUGAGGAUUAUAUAGCAUGUAUAGUCCUUUGGCAGAAAAACACUUACUCUGAACUAAAAGUGAAUGGCUGAAUGUGACAUUUAUAUUCAUUGUUUUUCCAGAACUGCGUACUGAGGAUGUUUGAAUUUACUCAAAAUAAUUCUUCCAGUAAUCCCAAAGCAGAGGUUUUGUAGGUGCUUUGAUUUCACGUGUUGUCUUAAGGUUAUGACAAAUAGUUCACAGUGGCUACUGGGAAAACUGGAGAAGUUUGCAUAUUCACUUCUGCAAAGUUAGAAGGAAAUCUGGCCUAACUUGGCAAAGGGAUGUGCUUACAGUUUUGAGGAACACAUAAUACUUGGGUUUUUGUGUGUCUGUGUGAUUUACUUUUCACUCAUGUUCAUUCCCUUGGAUGACAAAAGCAAAGUUUCUUGUCUACAGGAAAAAAUAGGAAAUAAAAGAGAAGGAAAGUCAAACUAAAUAAGGCUUUAAUCUCACAGAUAAAGAAAAAAACUUUCCCUCCUUCUUGUAGUGUUUGCUGUUAUUAUAGGCUGUUCUUAAUUUCCACAUGUGCCCAUUGCUUUUGUUUAUGAAUGAACAAAAUGACAUACUGCAGUUCACAGAAAUCAUCUGUAGAAAGAAACAAGGGAAUAAUUUUCUAUCACUGCUGAAAACUCUUCAGUAGAUCUUCAUGUGCUGCAGCUAAAAGGACCUGAAAAUUACAUUUUGAAUGAGCACAUAUACUUUCAAAGUAUUUUGUCAGAGCAGAAAGCUAAGUACACGUGCAAAAUGCACAUUUGAGAAAGCCGAAGUCACAGCACUUGCAGAUACACACAAUAUUCAUAGUUUUGUUUUGUACAUACAUUUACUUGUUGGUGCAUGAAUACAUAAAUUUUGUGAGUGUGCUUCAGGCAUUAGUAUGAGAAGCCGUGUGUAUAUAUGUGACUGUUUGUGCCUAUUAGCACAAAUUAUUACAAUUGCUCAUACCUAUCUGAUCCUGCUGUAUAGGCUUCAUAGGCUUUACCCAUUUGGAAUAAAAUUACACGAUGUAUGUCUGCCUGCACAUUUUUUUUUCCCCCAGCAGUUUUCAAACACAAUAAUUCAAUAUUUGCUAAAAAAGGAAGAAAAAUACCUUGUAAAACACAUAAUGUUUUACUCUUUAUCAGGCAAUGUGGAAAGGUUUCAUUUGUAUUGCUGUGUCUCUUGGGCUUCAGAACAGGAAAGCGCUCAUUCAAAAUGUAACGUCCAAGUCCUUUUAGCUACAGCACAUAAAGGUCUACUGAAAAGUUUUCGGCAGUGAUAUGAAAUGAAGUGGGAUAACUUAGAGAAGUCAGGAGGAUGAGAGGAAAUAAAAACAAAUAUGGGGCCAGUAAGUAGCCAGGACUAUCUGCCAGGACAAGGUGACUCCUGGGAAAAGGAAAGAGAGAUGAGUGACUACAGCAUGAGGAGUCAGAAGUAGGGAAAAGGAAAUACUGCUAUAGUAGUAUUUUGAAUAGGAUGAGACAGCAAGUGUCAGGGUGGUCAGACAAAAAACAGCCUUGGUGCCCCUCUAGUACUUUGGAGCAGUACUAAAUGUUUGUGAAAGUCACUUGGGAAGAUUUUCAGUUCCUCUAAUCUUCAUCCACAUUAGCAGCAGCAAUCUACUUCUGCCAUUGUUUACUAGAACAACUGUCAUGCCAGUUUGCAGAGAUCUGUGCAAUGGACUUCAGUGUUUCCAGUAUUGCUGAUUCUGGGAGUCAGCAAAUGCAAAGAUGCUAGAAAUAUGUCAAUGAAGUAUUGCUAUUCCUGUUUAUUUGUAUGCUCUCAUGAUCAGUAAAAUAACUUUCCUUAAUUUAGUCUGCCUUUACUCUUCAUGGAAAGCUUAAGGAAAACUAGGCAUAAGCAGCUCGGUUUCAUUCAAUUUUUCUAUGGAGGUCUCAUCCUGCACACACCAAUGGUGGCCAUCUAUCAUAUAUUUACAUUAUGUUGAAAUGAAGGGAACAUGACAUUUUUCCUUUAUUGUCAGGAGGUGUCAAAAGUAUUAAUAGCAUAAUUUUUGCUAGCUGGCUAAAAUUCUCACACUGCAAUCUUGUGCAUCAGCAUUUUUUUUUUUUUUUUUAAACCACAGAUGGUCAUUUAUGUAACACUGUUGGAAAUUGUUGCCAUGCUCCACAGCAACAGGAAAAUGGGAUACAUCUGCACUUUGUGGGGAAAAAUACAAAUGAACUAGAAGCUAUGCAAACAUUUAAAUUACAGGGAAACGGGACUGCGAUAAGCCCUGGUCUGCAUGAGCAGGAAGAGAGUGUCAGCCUCACCCAUACCCUGAAAAAAUGCUCACAUUUAUGGGCCACUCUAUUGUACUGAGUGGAAGUUUGUUUAUGCGGGACCUUCCUUCCCUCAGGACUUCCUCUGAGAGGAAAUGUCGUCACCAUUUAGUAGGAGUCAAUUGUUAUGCAUUCAAAACUCAAACAUAAAAUAGUAUCCCCGAAUGCAACGAAGUGCAAAGGAAUAAAUAAGAUUUAUGCAUUUACAUAUUUGGAAACAUUUACAAAAGUUGUUCUUGCUCACUAAGACUUUCAGAGAACUGGGUAAAAGCAAACAGGGCUUGAGUAAGUAGCUCAAAUAAUAUCGUUUUAUAGGUGCUCAAGAUGUUACUCAGUAUUUGAUGAAUCCCACGACUUUUGUCAUCGCUGCUAGUGCUCUAUGGCCGAUGUGGGAAUAUGUUUAAACAGAAGGCUGAAAAUCAGUUUGCAGCUGUAAAACCAGGGUCAUGCUCUUAUGGGAAUACUUGGCUAAGUCUGUUCCAUGUUUUGUACUGAAUGGCUCUGGAUCUGAAGCGCUCUGGGAAAAUACCUACAGAACUGAAGACCUGAAUGCACAAGGCAGAAUUAUAUACCUGGGUUAAAAGCAAGAGCAUCCACAGGUAUGGACUAAAGGGUGGUUGUGUGAACACACACCUUCUACAGAACAGAGAAGAAUUGUGAAGGCCUCUUCCCUCUAGAACACCCAGUUCUGCUUGGGAAGAAUGUAAGUCUGCCUUCAACUUGUGGAUACACAAGAACAUACACCUUAAUCCAUGUAGGAAAACUCCUGGACUGAAAUACGUCUCCAUCCAAGAAGACUACCUGAGUAUCAACAAGUGUGCCACAUAUCAGCAGUGGCUGUAGAAGACCAAACAUCUUCAGAGAAACUACUCUGAGAUCAUUCUGCUCCUCAACUCCACCACUGAAGCUGAACUGCAUCCCUAUUUAGCAAGUUUUAAUAAUCUGCCUCGGAAGAGGAUGGUUCCUGAAAACAGAUGUAUAGCUCUCUUUCAAUCACUCUAUAUAUCCAUAAAUUAAUUCCCUUUUUGUUAGGUUGCAUGUUAUGUUAAGAAGUUCUUUAAGCUAGCUUCCCAAGCAGGCUUCUAACUAACCACUAAGUAUAGGUCACAGCAGUUGUGUCCCAGUUCCCCAGCCAGACCACAGACUAUGCGGACUCCUCUCCUCUCCUCUAAUGGGGCACUUGGGAGUUUCCAUUGGUCUGAAGAAGAGUUUCUUGUUGUGAAUGUGACUGGUUCUACUUCACCUGAGUCUCAUGACAGUGUUUUUAAUGAUCAAGACCUCAAUUUUACUUAAGAUACUAAAAAAAAUUUCUAUCUUCUGUAAUAAAAAAAAUGAAAAAGUGGAGCCCUUCUAAACUGCAGAAUCUAGGAUUCAGAUAAAAUACUUUCCACCACCUUAUUUUUAAGGUACUUACAGUUUAUACAAAACCUCUCCUCCUUCUUUAGUAUCAUUUUCCAUGUGUGUUUUUUUUUUUUUUUUUUGCUUUUUUUUCCAAGAGAAAAUGGAGGUAAGGGAAUUCACUUACACUUUUUUACUUAUUUUUUUCUUGUUUGAGGCUGACAAUAGGCAUUUGCCAGCCUUUUGACUAUAACUAAAAUCAGGGUCAUGCUGAUUUCAUUAGAAGCGAAAUAAAGAACAACUAGUCUCAAAAUGGCAGCAGCUACCAAAUCCCUCCCAGAAGAAAGUCAGGUCAGCAUGCCACGAUGUAUCUGAACCCAAGACAAUGGGAAGGUGACUUCUUUCUCAUCACACUCAGGACAGUGCUAAGGGAAAGGCUGGGAUGAGACCCUCAGAGGAGGCACAGCCUGCCCGACAGUAUGGGCAGCGUUUGGUGGAUUUGAGGAAUUUGCAGUGCAUGCCAUAUCAACUGUUUCCUCUAAGUAUUUCAAAAGGAGUGCAAGAAGCUUUGCUUUUCCCUCUCAUAAGCCCUACAGUCUGAAGGUAACAGUCUGAUGCUGGACAAUACGGGAUGUUCAUUUCUUGUGUAACUCUUAGCUUUUUGCUUGUGUAAUUUUAGAUGAUAUGAGUAAUUGUUUUUUUCCUGCUUUCUUUUCUGUCUUUCUUGCAUCAGUGGAAAUAAAAUAUCAGAAGUAUGGGAAUACUGUAGCAAUUGGAAAGAGUGAAAACAGUGGUUUUCUUGGAAUAAAUUUUCAUGCUACAGGGGUUAGAAGCAAAUGAAGCUAAAAAAUGACAAAAGAGAGCGCCCUUAUACAUACAUUUUCUCUUAUUCCAUUCUUAGCUAUCAAAGAUCUGAAGUUACUAAAUUUACUGCAAAAACAAUUAUUUUUCCAGUCUCUGGGCAGACGGGUGAAGGAUUAGGGUUCUACUGCAUGAUUGGUUUCUUUCUAUUAUUAUUAGUAGUAGCAGUUUUAGUGCUGUCAGUAUAUUCAGUGCCUUUUUAGUUUGGCUUCUGUUGCUCAAGAAGGAUUGCAAAAGACUUAUUUCUGUUCUGUACACCCAAGGAAGUACUGCUUGUUACUAGCAGGAAAAGAUGUGAAGCUCUGAGAAGGGAACUUGCUGGUCUGUAUUUAACCAUACCAUUCUGAAAAACACAUUUCACCAAGGAGUCAUUCACACAGUUUACUAAGGGGAAAAAAAAAUACCCUGCAAAUUAAAUAAGGCUUCAAAUAAAACAAAUCAUCCUUGGAGAUGCUACUGGGAAUUGUUUCUUUCAGCUCACCCAAGAAAAAUUACUUCCAAGUUAUUUGAAAUGUCAGAUUAUUGGAUUGAAAGUUAGAAAUACCUCUUUAGCAAAAACUCUCUUUUCUUUAUCCUCUUCCUCUGCUUUUCUUUUCCUUUUUUUAUUUUUAUUUUUAUUUCAUUUUGGGAACAAUGUUUCAAUUAAAUUACAGACUUAUUUUCUAAACAAAAUAAUUUCUUACAAGUAUAGCUGAGAAAUCAGUUUAUUUUAUGUAGGAAAAUGGAAUUAAUGAGUUUAAAACUCAUAUCCAGUAAACAAGAUUAUUUUUUUUUACAAAGACAUACCCUUAAAAAGUGGUAACUUUAAGAAUUGUUCUUGAUAAUCAAUUGCAAAUCCUAAUGAAAACUCCACUAAUGCAGACAUUUACGAACAUGGCAUACAGGCUCUUGUUCAUUGCUGGCAAAAAUGCACAGCUAAUGGUGGUGAGUGUUCUAAAGAAUAGUAUUUUGUAGCUGAGAAUUUGCUCUAUCUAUUAGCAUUAUUGUUACGUCCUUUUUCUUUUUUUGUUCAUCUCACUCUCUCUUAUGUUUUUGGGGUCUUUUUAGGAAACAAUUUUUCAUUUGAAAAUCUCUUCAUUUUUAAUUCUGUCAGUUAAAAAAGCAGUACUUGGAGAUUUAACCUUUUUGGAUUACAGGAACAUUUUAUCUAACUUUGUUAGACAUGAAAUGAAAUUUUCCAGACUAUUUGGUUCCUACAAUUGUUAGGGCAACCCAAAAUAGCUUUUCUGCUUCAAUUUUUUAUAAAGUAGUCAACAAAUUUGUUCUCCCUUUUCCAGCAUUCCUUUUUAUCUGGAAAGUCUAUCUUUGACUUGAUGAUAUUUAGUAGUGUUAAUAAUUUAAACUUUCUGGAUCUCUUUCAGCUACUCCAGAUUUUGGGAAAACAUUUACACCAUUAGAAAUAAACCCCAGUUGACUCACCUCCUCCAACUUCAGAAUCUGCACUGAAACAAACGUUACACAGAAACAUUACAUUUUAUUUACCCUAUCUUCUAAUACCAUGAAAGCAGCAAUAGUGAAAAUCAGUAUCCCCAGAUGGUGAAGAGUUGUUCAGGGUGCCCUUCCUCACCUGCACAGAGGAUGGUGAGAAUGCAACGUCCCUCUGAAGCUCUCUGAGGGCUUGGUGAAAAGAUUUCAUCUGCACCAGCCUCUGGAGGAGGGCCC
ensembl:lncRNA